UAGGGAAUCUUCGGCAAUGGACGAAAGUCUGACCGAGCAACGCCGCGUGAGUGAAGAAGGUUUUCGGAUCGUAAAACUCUGUUGUUAGAGAAGAACAAGGACGUUAGUAACUGAACGUCCCCUGACGGUAUCUAACCAGAAAGCCACGGCUAACUACGUGCCAGCAGCCGCGGUAAUACGUAGGUGGCAAGCGUUGUCCGGAUUUAUUGGGCGUAAAGCGAGCGCAGGCGGUUUCUUAAGUCUGAUGUGAAAGCCCCCGGCUCAACCGGGGAGGGGCAUUGGAAUCUGGGAGAAUUGAGUGCAGAAGAGGAGAGUGGAAUUCCAUGUGUAGCGGUGAAAUGCGUAGAUAUAUGGAGGAACACCAGUGGCGAAGGCGGCUCUCUGGUCUGUAACUGACGCUGAGGCUAGAAAGCGUGGGGAGCAAACAGG
rnacentral:rRNA from 1 species